rnacentral:rRNA from 1 species
ACUGAACGCUGGCGGCAUGCCUUACACAUGCAAGUCGAACGGUAACAGGUCUUCGGAUGCUGACGAGUGGCGAACGGGUGAGUAAUACAUCGGAACGUGCCCGAUCGUGGGGGAUAACGAAGCGAAAGCUUUGCUAAUACCGCAUAAGAUCUACGGAUGAAAGCAGGGGACCGCAAGGCCUUGCGCGAACGGAGCGGCCGAUGGCAGAUUAGGUAGUUGGUGGGAUAAAAGCUUACCAAGCCGACGAUCUGUAGCUGGUCUGAGAGGACGACCAGCCACACUGGGACUGAGACACGGCCCAGACUCCUACGGGAGGCAGCAGUGGGGAAUUUUGGACAAUGGGCGAAAGCCUGAUCCAGCCAUGCCGCGUGCAGGAUGAAGGCCUUCGGGUUGUAAACUGCUUUUGUACGGAACGAAAAGACUCUGGUUAAUACCUGGGGUCCAUGACGGUAUCGUAAGAAUAAGCACCGGCUAACUACGUG